UACGUAGGGGGCAAGCGUUGUCCGGAUUUAUUGGGCGUAAAGAGCGUGUAGGCGGCCAUUCAGGUCAGCUGUGAAAACUCGAGGCUCAACCUCGAGACGCCGAUGGAAACCGUCUGGCUAGAGUCCGGAAGAGGAGAGUGGAAUUCCUGGUGUAGCGGUGAAAUGCGCAGAUAUCAGGAAGAACACCCGUGGCUAAGGCGGCUCUCUAGUACGGUACUGACGCUGAGACGCGAAAGCGUGGGGAGCGAACAGG
rnacentral:rRNA from 1 species